AGUGGGAAGUACAGAUGACUCCCCAGGUGAGACGGCAUUUGAUUGAGAGCUUAAAACAAGAGUUCCACAGAUGAGGAGAAGAAAGAAGCUUUCACUCCAGGCAGGAGGAACAAACUGCCAGGAAAGCUGCAGAACAGAGGUCUGAAAACAUAAGAGAAGCCAGGAAAAUGCAAGUCCUUCCUCCUGACCCUAGAAAAUCUCUGCUGCCAAGGCUGGGACUCUGCUGCCAACUUCAGGCCUGGGAAAACCAAGACUCCAGGAGCUCUACCUCUAGGAUUCUUCCAAACAUCUCACCAUGUCCUCUGAUACCUCUGUAGUCAUCUGCCACAACCUACUUCUGAAUAAAUCCUACAUUCCACCUUUCUG
rnacentral:lncRNA from 1 species